rnacentral:lncRNA from 1 species
GCGCGAGUCAGGGGCCCGUUCGACCCGUUGGGUUCGAACGGGAUAGAGAUCAACCUAACAUUCUCCCCCUUGAUCUCAACUUUACUUUUAACCUUAUACUUUCUAGUUUAUUUGUUUCAUCACAUAUUGGUACAUAGAGCAUGUUUCAUCGUCAUAGCUCAAUUGCCGAUAGAAUCAUACAGCUACAACAUACGUUAUGUUCAGAAACAAAUUCUGUUCCUUUUGGGCCUAUCCAGGAAUCAUAAGGCUUUCCCUUAAACCCAUGCCGGCUAAGUGUUCCUUGAACACAUUGGGUGGUAAGCCUUUCGUUAGCGGAUCCGCAAGCAUAUCUUUUGUCUUUAUAUGCUCGAGACUUAUAGUUUGAUCCUGGAUUUUAUCUUUCACAACAUAGUACUUUAUCUCUAUUGUUUUGGCAGCAUUACUCGACUUGUUGUUGUGAGCGUAAAAUACCGCGGGCUGAUUGUCGCAAUACAUCUUUAGUGGUUUGUGAAUACAAUCUACCACUUUCAAGUCGGGUACAAAUUUCUUUAGCCAUAUCGCCUGUCCCGUGGCUUCGAAGCAUGCUAUGAAUUCUGCAUACAUCGUGGAUGAUGCAACUGUCGACUGUUUGGAGCUUUUCCACGAAAUAGCUCCCCCAGCGAGGGUGAAUACGUAUCCUGACGUGGAUUUUCUAUCAUCUUUGUCCCCCGCAAAAUCUGCGUCUGAAUACCCUUUUAUCUGUAGGGAAUCAGAUCUCUUGUAUGUUAGCAUGUAGUCCUUCGUGCCUUGCGCAUAACACAAUGCUUUCUUUACCAUCUUCCAGUGCUCUAUGCCUGGAUUCUCUUAAUAUCUACCGAGUACCCCGGUGAUAAAGGCUAAGUCAGGGCGAGUGCACACUUGUGCAUACUGUAAGCUGCCAACUGCCGAAGCAUAUGGUACUCCUUUCAUUUGAUCGAUCUCAUACUGAUUCUUGGGACAUUGAAAUUUCCCAAAAUUGUCGCCCUUAACUAUAGGAGCAGGUGUGGCUUUACUCGCAUGCAUAUUAUACUUUUUAAUAACCUUCUCCAAAUAUGCUUUCUGCGAUAGUCCUAAGACUCCAUUGUUUCUAUCUCGGUGAAUUUCUAUGCCCAAAACAUAUGAUGCUUCACCAAGAUCUGUUAUGUCAAAAUUCGAGGAUAAGAACUUCUUAGUUUUUUGUAGUAGACUAACAUCACUGCUAGCAAGCAGAAUGUCAUCCACAUACAAGAUUAGGAAAAUAUAUUUCCCAUUUUUAAACUUUGCAUAAAUGCAGUUAUCCUCAAUAUUUUCUUUAAAUCCAAAACUUUUAAUCGUUUGAUUAAACUUUAAAUACCACUGCCUAGAGGCUUGCUUUAAUCCAUAAAUGGAUUUCUUUAGGCGGCAUCCCAUAUUUUCCUUGCCUUCCAUGAUAAAAUCCUUGGGCUGUUUCAUGUAUACAUUUUCUUUUAAAUCUCCGUUUAGAAAUGCCGUCUUUACAUCCAUUUGAUGUAACUCUAAAUCAAAAUGAGCAACUAAUGCCAUUAUGAUUCUGAAGGAAUCCUUACAUGAGACCGGAGAAAAUGUCUCUUUGUAAUCUAUUCCUUCUCUUUGUGUAAAUCCUUUUGCCACGAGUCGUGCUUUAUAUUUUUCUAUAUUCCCUUUAGAGUCAUACUUAAUUUUGUAGACCCAUUUGCAGCCUACUGAUUUGGCUCCUUUAGGAAUUUCCUCUAAGUCCCAAACAUCUUUGGAACUCAUUGAUUUCAUCUCGUCCUCCAUUGCCUUCAUCCACAUCGAUGAAUGAGGGCUUCUCAUGGCUUCUUCAUAUGAGGUGGGAUCUUUUUCCAUAUGAACCAUUUCUGUGUUAUAAACUUUAAAGUCAGUUGAAAUAGCUGACUUUCUUGGUCUUGUAGACCUUCUAAGGGCCUCAGUUUCUGGCACAUUCUGUGCCUCAACUUCUGGCACUUCUUCUAAAAUUUGCUGCUGCACCUCCCUUUCAUGCUCAACAACGGGUUCAGUCGGCUCCUGACGGACAGGUUCUGGGUCUGCCCCCAUAGUUGUCAUGGGUGGAGUUGCAACUGGUAGUGAGAAAAAUGGCUCCUGAAUCAUCGGAUUAGGUGCAUGCACCCUCUUCUCCUCAAGAUCAAUUUUCCGAGCUACCAAGCUCCCCCUCAUCAUUUCGUCCUCUAAGAAGACUGCAUGUCUCGUUUCUACAAACUUUGUAUAUCUGUCUGGGCAGUAGAAACAAAAACCCUUUGAUCUGUCUGGAUAGCCAAUAAAGUGGCAACUCACUGUUUUGGGAUCUAACUUUCCAAUGUUUGGAUUAAACAUUUUGGCCUCAGCAGGGCACCCCCACACCCUGAAGUGUUGUAGGGAUGGCACCCUUCCUGUCCAUAGCUCGUACGGUGUUUUGGGCACCGACUUGCUUGGUACUCUAUUGAGAAUGUGAAUGGCGGUUUUAAGCGCCUCCAUCCAUAAUCCCAAUGGCAAGUUGGAAUAACUCAUCAUGCUGCGCACCAUAUCCAUAAGUGUACGGUUGUGCCUUUCAGCUACUCCAUUUUGCUGAGGUUCGCCCGGCAUUGAAUACUGGGCAACUAUGCCAGUCUCCUGCAAGAACUUUGCAAAAGGUCCAGGGACUUGGCCAUAUGGAGUGUGCCGACCGUAGUACUCUCCCCCACGGUCGGACCUAACUAUCUUUAUUCUUUUAUCAUGCUGAUUUUCAACUUCAGCUUUGAAUAUUUUAAAUUUAUCCAACGCUUCAGAUCUUUCUUUGAUUGGAUAAAUAUAUCCAUAGCGAGAGUAAUCAUCUGUGAAUGUUAUGAACGAGUCAUAUCCAUCCACACUUUUCACCGGAAAUGGUCCACAAAUAUCAGUGUGGAUGAUUUCUAGUGUGCCUGUGCUAUGGAUUGCACCUUUUUUGAUUUGUUUUACGUACUUUCCUUUAACGCAAUCUAUGCAUUGUUCUAAGUCUGAAAAUUCUAACGGAGGAAGAAUUUCACUUUUGACUAAUCUUUCUAUUCUCCCCUUCGAAAUAUGGCCCAAACGACAGUGCCAUAGUUUCGAUGAGUCGAAUGUUCUUUUUCUUUUCUUUUGCUCUUUAUUCGACGCGGAACCAUUUUCGGUCACAUUGCAAACGGAAUAAACUUUUUUAUGAAGUGAUAACAAAUAAAGCUCAUCAUGGAGUAAAGCAUCACCCACAUAAGCAUUAUUAUACCAAAUGGCACACUUGCCAUGUCCAAAAUGACAUUCAUAAUUAUCUUUGUCCAAACAAGAAACACUAAUUAAGUUUCUAUGACAAGAUGGAACAAAUAAAACAUCUCUAAGUAGAAGAUUGAAUCCGCCAGCUAACUCCAAGGAGAUAUCACCGACAGCUUCAACUUCUGCUUCAACUCCGUUUGCCACUUCAAUGCGUCUUUCGCUUCUUAGCGUAGUUCGCGUCGAAUGGAAUCCCUGUAAAGAAUUUGCAACAUGAACAGUUGCCCCUGAAUCAAUCCACCAAGUGGAUUUUGAAAACUGUGUAUACAAGGAUUCAUUGACAAAUGAAACUAUAUUGUUACCUCUUUUUGCCAUGACUGACUUCAACCAAGCAGCGCAGUCUUUCUUGUAAUGCCCUUUCUGCUUGCAGUGGAGACACGUGUCUUUGUUCACUGAGAAAGGCUGUUGCUGAUGCUGAUAGGGGGCUUUUCCAUUCUUUGAAGGAGAACUUUUGUUGUUUUGAUUGUAGUUCUUUUUCUUCCAAUCCUUCACAUAGUUGAUUGAACCACCAUGUGCGGCUUUGAGUCUGUCCUCUUCUUGGACACACAUUGCUAUUGUCUUUUCAAUGUCCCAUGUUCCAGGUGACAUAUUAUAGUUUACAACAAAAGUUGCAAACUCCUGUGGCAGUGAAGCCAUGACCAGGUGGACCAGGAGUGCUGGUUUGAUCUCCAGAUCCGCAUCCAUGGGCUUGAGCUUUGCUGCCAUAUUGCUCAUCCUGAGGAUGUGCUCUCUUAUUCCACGACUACCACCUGUGUAGCGUUCUAUCACCAGUUGCUCUAACACUUGGGUAGCAUAGAUCUUUGAAGAGCCAGUGAACUGGCUCUUUAUCUUUGUAAGCAACUCCCCUGCGGAAGUGCACUCUGGAAUGGAGCCCACAAUGGCGCUCUCAACUGUAUUCUUUAUAAAAGCCAUGCACUUUUUGUUUGCAUUGACCCACUUUUGGUUAUCUAUGAGGUAGGAUUGCUCCAAAAGAGCAUAGUCCCCUUUCUUUUUAGCCCAUGCAUCAUCAUCAUCAAUGCCCUCUCUUACUGGCUCUGUGGGUCUGACCGGCUGUGGUUUCACCAUAACCCAGUCAAGAUCAGCACAAAUAAAUGCCAGAUCAACUUUCUUCCUCCACUCAGUGUGGUUGUCACCUCUGAGUGUCGGAACUUCUUUUAGGCAACUCAUCAAGUGAAAGCCUCCUGAAAUCACAAUUUAAGUGACAUCAAUAAAACAAUCAUAUGCAAUAAUCUAACGUUGGUCAAAUUAAACAUACAAUUGUCUAUGCAAUUAAAUCUAUAUUACCGUUGGGCAAAAUAUUAGAAAUAAAUGCACCUUUAAAUUUCAAUAAUAGAACAUGAUCAUGUUAUUAAUAACGUUGGUCAUAAAAAAUAACAUAAUCAUAUCAUUUCAAUAAUUACUUUAACAUGCUCUUAAAAACAUAAUUCUAUCUAAACUUUUAUUUUCUUUUUAAAGAGCACUAAUUAUUUAUUUACGCAGCGGAAAAACGUGAAUAAAAAAUUCACGAACUUUUUACUUUUACAGAAACUUUUCUUUGAUAAAAAAUAAAAAUAAAAAUUCAUGAACUUUAUUAUCAUCUCUGUAAAAUUCAUGAACAUUUCUUUUUCUGAAAAUUUUAGUUUUUUCAUUUUCAGAACUUUUUCUGUUUACUUUUCUAUUUUCUAAACAAAAAAUUUUGUUGGAAAAAAUUGCAUAGAAAACACUAUUUGAAAUCUGCAAAAAACUGGACAAAUAACAAAAAACUUAAAAUAAAAACGAGCAGCACAGCGCCGGCCUGCCCUCUUGCCCGGUCCACGGCCUGCAGCAGCACGCUCGCGCGGGCCGACCUGGCCGCAGCGCAGUCCAGCCGCCCGGCGGGCCUCGGCCUUGCGCCGCCCAGCCGCCAAGCCAGCCCAGUAGGCCCGGUUGGCUCUAGGUUUUGCAUCUAAGCCGUCCAUCGCGAUCCAACGGCAUCGGGGAAACAAAAACUGGCACCGAGGGAAACCCUCGGUCACUUUCCUCCCCCACGCGCCGCUCGCCUCGCUCUCGGCCGCUCGCUCCUCUCUCGCCCGCUCGCUCGGUGACGGCUCCACGAGCCACGCUGGCGCAGCGAGCCAGGGCGGAGCGGCGAGCCCAGGCGGCACCCCGACAAGCCAGGCCCUUCCCCUUCCCCUCCCCUCUCCGUUUCCAAGAGAGACAGAGAGGAUCCCCGUUUUUCAUUUCAGCGAGAGGAAGAGUGCAGCCAGAUCGCGCCGUGGCUAUCCUCCUCGUCGGUGGCGCGUCCUCCCUCGCGGUGAGCGCGCCGCCGCCGAGGGAUUUGGCCGCGGUGCUCACCUCCUCCCUUUUUUCUGUGUGUGUCUUUUUCCUUUCUUUUCCGAGAGCAAUUGCUAGCUCCGGUGGUUCUUCGUCCCCGCACCUCGGCUUGCCGAUGCGUGUGGGGAUCGAGAGAAACAGGCGCGGCAUGCGGUGGCGCUCUUUGCCGGUGAGGCUCAAGGCCAAAAUCCGGUGGUUUACUUUGCCCUGUCUAGGGUUCUUGGGGGAGGGGAGGUCUUUUUCUUUUCUGUUUUUGUUUCUCUGUACCGAAAUUAACUAGCCCGAUCUGGCUCUGAUACCAUUGAUAGGACCUUAGAUCGGAGUGGGCUAGGAGAUCCAGUGAACCUACCUUCUCCUGGUGUGGAUGAACUCGAUCCAGCACCGGCCAUGAUGAUGGCAGAGUGUGGGCGAGGUGGUGGCGGUGGAGCUUCCCGUCGGCCUAGCGCAAAACCCUAGAUCGGAUUGGUGUUUCGGUGGUGUUGUGGUGCACGGUCAACCUCGUAAUUCGUGCCCCGGCACCCCACCUCUUUAUAUUGCGCUGGCGACAGGGGCCCACCAACCAUUGUUUGGUUGGGCGCCCCCGAUCAGGGCGCGAGUCAGGGGCCGUUCGACCCGUUGGGUUCGUACGGGAUAGAGAUCAACCUAACAAAAGUCCCUACGGCCAAGUGCAGAAUUGCAAGCAGAACAGAAGCAUGCUAGAUACUGUAGUACUUCCUAGUAGUAGCUAGGUAGCAUUAAACACAAAGCAUGCAUAAAACAACACACGAUGAAGUAGAAGAGAACUGAUGAUGAACUGGCCGUUUCCAUCAUAGUACAAGCAGAUCCCAGAAUGCAUGCUACUAGCUCCACGUCCGUGUCCGUACGUCUUCCUCCGGCGCAGGUCCGCUCCACAGCAAGCCUUCUUCCACGGGACGCCGACAGAAUCGUCGAGGACCACCACCUAGGCAAAGACAUCCGGCCGGCAGAUUAGCCCGGACGGUACAAGCACAACCAACACAGACCCCGUAAAAGGAAAAACCAAAGCAGCAUGCAUAUGGUACAUAUAUAGCGCAAGAUCGAACUUACCUGCCGGAGGUACGCACGGCCGGUGAAGGAGCUAGCAGCGUUGUUGGAGCUUCACACAGCGGCGCCGGCCGCCUGGCCGGCCCCUCCAGCCGCCUCGGCCUGGCCAUCCCCUCCCACCGCCAGGCCAUCGGCGCGGCCCCGGAUCCAGCGAACCACCUUCCUCGCCAAGUAAAAGCAUUUGACGAGGAACUCCACGGCCAACCAGCCGAGAAACACGGCCAAGAAGAUGAGAGUCAGCUCCACCAGGACGGCGACGAAGCCUUCACGGUCCAUUAUUACGCACGGCUUUCCUCGAGCGUGAUCGGCCGGAGGUCCGCCGGCCCGUUAUAAAGGCACGCAGGCUCCUGAUAGCCACAGCCGUGACCCGUGAGCAGCCCCCAUGUG